GAUGAACGCUGGCGGCGUGCCUAAUACAUGCCAGUCGAGCGAACGGACGAGAAGCUUGCUUCUCUGAUGUUAGCGGCGGACGGGUGAGUAACACGUGGAUAACCUACCUAUAAGACUGGGAUAACUUCGGGAAACCGUAGCUAAUACCGGAUAAUAUUUUGAACCGCAUGGUUCAAAAGUGAAAGACGGUCUUGCUGUCACUUAUAGAUGGAUCCGCGCUGCAUUAGCUAGUUGGUAAGGUAACGGCUUACCAAGGCAACGAUGCAUAGCCGACCUGAGAGGGUGAUCGGUCACACUGGAACUGAGACACGGUCCAGACUCCUACGGGAGGCAGCAGUAGGGAAUCUUCCGCAAUGGGCGAAAGCCUGACGGAGCAACGCCGCGUGAGUGAUGAAGGUCUUCGGAUCGUAAAACUCUGUUAUUAGGGAAGAACAUAUGUGUAAGUAACUGUGCACAUCUUGACGGUACCUAAUCAGAAAGCCACGGCUAACUACGUG
rnacentral:rRNA from 1 species